rnacentral:rRNA from 1 species
AUUGAACGCUGGCGGCAUGCCUUACACAUGCAAGUCGAACGGCAGCACGGGGGCAACCCUGGUGGCGAGUGGCGAACGGGUGAGUAAUGCAUCGGAACGUGCCCAGUAGUGGGGGAUAACCAGUCGAAAGACUGGCUAAUACCGCAUACGACCCAAGGGUGAAAGCGGGGGACCGUAAGGCCUCGCGCGAUUGGAGCGGCCGAUGUCUGGUUAGCUAGUUGGCGGGGUAAGAGCCCACCAAGGCGACGAGCAGUAGCUGGUCUGAGAGGACGACCAGCCACACUGGGACUGAGACACGGCCCAGACUCCUACGGGAGGCAGCAGUGGGGAAUUUUGGACAAUGGGCGCAAGCCUGAUCCAGCCAUGCCGCGUGCGGGAAGAAGGCCUUCGGGUUGUAAACCGCUUUUGGCAGGAACGAAACGGCGCAGGCCAAUACCUUGCGCUAAUGACGGUACCUGCAGAAUAAGCACCGGCUAACUACGUGCCAGCCGCCGCCGUAACAC